ACAAGAAGAGUAGCUUGAAGAAUCCAAAACUUAGAUUAUUCAGUCUUCCUAUGUUGAGAAAGAGCAUUAUAAGCUUGAGGAAUCUAUCCUAGCAUUACAAAUUUAAACAAGAUUUUUUAAAUUGUCUUGUUCCUACUGAAUUGAAGAGUCUUUUAGUUGUAGUUGUGACUAAUUUUCUAUGUUCAAAUGUUUCCAAAGAUACAAAGGAAAGCAUGAAG
rnacentral:misc_RNA from 1 species